rnacentral:rRNA from 1 species
CAGUCGCCACGGGAAUACGAAGGGGGCUAGCGUUGCUCGGAAUGACUGGGCGUAAAGGGCGCGUAGGCGGAUUGUUUAGUUAGGCGUGAAAUUCCUGGGCUUAACCUGGGGACUGCGCUUAAUACAGGCAGUCUAGAGUGAGGAAGAGGGUUGUGGAAUUCCCAGUGUAGAGGUGAAAUUCGUAGAUAUUGGGAAGAACACCGGUGGCGAAGGCGGCAACCUGGUCCUUGACUGACGCUGAGGCGCGAAAGCGUGGGGAGCAAACAGGAUUAGAUACCCCAGUAGUCUCUGUCUCUUAUAC